rnacentral:rRNA from 1 species
UACGUAGGGACCGAGCGUUGUCCGGAAUCAUUGGGCGUAAAGAGCGUGUAGGCGGCCUUUUAAGUCCUGCGUGAAAUCCUGCGGCUCAACCGCAGACGGUCGUGGGAAACUGGAAGGCUAGAGUGCGGGAGAGGAGAGUGGAAUUCCACGUGUAGCAGUGAAAUGCGUAGAGAUGUGGAGGAACACCGAUGGCGAAGGCAGCCCCCUGGGCCAACACUGACGCUCAGGCACGAAAGCGUGGGGAGCAAACAGG